CCAAGUAACAAGAGAGGACCCUGUUGCAAAUGGACUUGUCACAGUAAUUAACAGAGAAGACACUUGCACUAGCCUGGACUGUUUUCCCUGCUCUGUGCCCCUCCUGUAACACCAUGGAGCUAAGAACUCAUCUGAACGCUUAUUUUGUCUUGCUCUCACUAUUGCCAGUCAUUUAACAUUUUGUUACACAGCAAGCAAUGCAGUAUAUGCUCAGCUGGAGUGGGCUUUGACCGUAUGACUACCUGGCAAACCUACACCACUAAGGUCUUAGUGGCCAAAUUUUUCUCUUGGAGACCAUAAAAACGACAAGAGAAAUAAUCAGCUGGGAGAGAAAAAUGAAGAUAGUGCUCACACUUCUGUAGCUGAUUGACUUUCCUUCUCCAGUUACCGUGGAAAAUUACUUCAGAUGUGGAAAAGCUGGGGAUAUUUCCCAGGAAUUCAUGUAAGGCACCCUCUGUGGGAUUGCAACGUGGGCUGUGGGACAGCGGUGUUGGCUGGUUGUUAAGAGGUAGGGAACUGAACCGAAGGGACACUGAAACAGCAUGAGGAAGAAGCCUGAGCAGACUACAGCCACCUUCUGCACUGAGUAGAGAAAGGGGGCAAAUGCUUUUUUGUCAGAAAACAAAGAACAAAAGGCAUGUGUUGUGAGCGUAAACCUUUAAGUAUCCCUUAAA